rnacentral:rRNA from 1 species
CKCGUGUCCSGAGAAGUUGGGUUAAGAWCRRCCCCGAGGKCMACCCCURYCCYUARUUKCUACGCAAGAGCACUCUAAGGAGACUGCCGGUGACAAACCGGAGGAAGGUGGGGAUGACGUCAAGUYCUCAUGGCCCUUAUGGGUAGGGCWUCMCMCGUCAUACUAUGUUCGGAGCAGAGGGUUGCCAAGCCGCGAGGGGGAGCUAAUCCCAGAAAACCGAUCGUAGUCCGGAUUGCACUCUGCAACUCGAGUGCAUGAAGCUGGAAUCGCUAGUAAUCGCGGAUCAGCAUGCCGCGGUGAAUACGUUCCCGGSUCUYGUCCACGCCGCUCUUCACACCAUGGGAGUGGCUUUUACCAGAAGUAACUAGUCUAUCCGCAAGGAGGACUCUCACCACGGUCGGAUUCRCGACUGGGGUGAAG